UUCCUGAUGGUCCAGGGGCUACGACUCUGCGCUACUAAUGCAGGGGGCCUGGGUUCAAUCCCUGGUCAGGGAA
rfam:Ovis aries breed Texel chromosome 10, whole genome shotgun sequence.